CCCAAACCCAAACCACCAUCAGUCCUCCUCUCCUACGACUCAACGACUCCGCCUUCUCUAGCACAACCGCUCCACCUUUGUCGAAGCCACCAACUUCGAAAAUCUCUCUACCCUUCUCCUUCCCCCAAAACCCAAAUCUCUAUCCUUUUCCUUCCCUCAAAACCCAACUCUGAAAUUUCCCAAAUCUCUAUCCUUUUCCCUCCCUCAAAACCCAACUCUGAAAUUUUUUCUAAAAACUAUAAAAACUAAAACUAAAACCUGUAACAUGCGACCACUCCUAUUUAUUCUCAGAAACCAUCUCCUUCUCCCCAAAUCCUCACCCAAAACUCCUAUAGCAUUCGACCCCUCCUCUCUCUUCUUAGAAACCAUCUGGUCUAAACUUGCUCAAGUAGCAAAUAUAAUACCAGUCCUAUUUUUGUGAGCCCUGAAGCAAGAUUUGGAAGAGGAGAUCAAGUUUAUUUGGGCGACUCGGACUGAGACUCAGGGUUGCUAGGAACACAACCUAGCAAGUGAGAGAAUCAAUGGUUGUAUUUACUUUAACUAUGAAACUUAUAUAAUUAUCUGUGUUACAAUGUUGGUGUUUGUAUUGAUCCCCCUCUUUUUGUUGUGUUUUAUUUGUGUGUGUGAUUUAGAUUGGUAGUAGAUUGAGUUUGAGAAGAACUAUGGGGUCAAAGAUAAUAAAUUUGGGGUGGAUGCCUAGGCCCUUAUGCUCAAGGGUGUGAAAGAAGCUUACUUAUGUUAUCAAGGUGGUGACUGCCUUCUAAUCAGUUCCCAUCAAGCUUACUUAUCAAGCUUGACGUUCCCAUCUAAAAAAAAAAAAAAAACCAGUUAGGCCAAAAAAAUUAAUUUUAUCCUCACCUUCACACAAGUUAACUUUUAAAAACCCACACUGUUGAAGAGCAAGAACAGAGUCCUGCCUUCACUAGCCUGCCACCACCGGUCAGCUAGCAAAACCACUACUGGUAAAACUAAUCUCUUGUGUUUUCCCCUUUCAGUUGUAAUACCUGGGAUUUUCUUUCUUAAUCUUCUUCUCCUUCUAAGUGAGAGUUUGUUUGUGUAAUUUGGGUGGCUCAAUUUCUUUUUCCUUCCUCUUGAUGUUCACACUGUCAUGUUACUAUAUUGUGCUUUUUCCUGAGACUUCGUAAGUGUGCGGAGAGAGUUUAGAAGGCUAUCACCACCGAUCUAUUGCCACCAUCAGAUGGCUGGAACUGCUGUAGGUAAAGAUAAAUUCUGCUAAUGGGUUUCAUUGGUAAUAAAAAGAGAUAUUUGGAUGACCAGUUUGAAGUUUGAAGAUUUCAAGAAUUGCAAGAUGACAACAUGUACAUUUUGUGGGCAAAGGUUGCUAGCCAAAUCUGGUGUGGCAUUGGGUUACAUUCAUGAGGUAACCUUCUUUGGGAUAAGACUAUUUGGUGGAGUGAUGAAUUUUGGUUAUCCUUCUCUGCAAAAUGGAAGACAAUGUCACUGUUCAUUCACUAAGUAAUAUUCCCCUAAUAUGAAACUAUUUUUUAAAUUACAACUAGAGAGAUGUAAACCAAUUUUGAACUUAUAAAUCUAUUCCUGUUCAAGAAUAAUAGAAUCAUAA